rnacentral:rRNA from 1 species
UUAGCGGCGGACGGGUGAGUAACACGUGGAUAACCUACCUAUAAGACUGGGAUAACUUCGGGAAACCGGAGCUAAUACCGGAUAAUAUUUUGAACCGCAUGGUUCAAAAGUGAAAGACGGUCUUGCUGUCACUUAUAGAUGGAUCCGCGCUGCAUUAGCUAGUUGGUAAGGUAACGGCUUACCAAGGCAACGAUGCAUAGCCGACCUGAGAGGGUGAUCGGCCACACUGGAACUGAGACACGGUCCAGACUCCUACGGGAGGCAGCAGUAGGGAAUCUUCCGCAAUGGGCGAAAGCCUGACGGAGCAACGCCGCGUGAGUGAUGAAGGUCUUCGGAUCGUAAAACUCUGUUAUUAGGGAAGAACAUAUGUGUACAGUAACUGUGCACAUCUUGACGGUACCUAAUCAGAAAGCCACGGUAACUACGUGCCAGCAGCCGCGGUAAUACGUAGGUGGCAAGCGUUAUCCGGAAUUAUUGGGCGUAAAGCGCGCGUAGGCGGUUUUUUAAGUCUGAUGUGAAAGCCCACGGCUCAACCGUGGAGGGUCAUUGGAAACUGGAAACUUGAGUGCAGAAGAGGACCCUGGAAUUCCAUGUGUACGGUGAAAUGCGCAGAGAUAUGGAGGUACACCAGUGGCGAAGGCGACUUUCUGGUCUGUAACUGACGCUGAUGUGCGAAAGCGUGGGGAUCAAACAGGAUUAGAUACCCUGUAGUCCACGCCGUAAACGAUGACCCCUAAGUGUUAGGGGGUUUCCGCCCCUUAGUGCUGCAGCUAACGCAUUGAAGCACUCCG